rnacentral:rRNA from 1 species
GACGAACGCUGGCGGCGUGCCUAACACAUGCAAGUCGAACGAAGUGGAGAACGGGUGAGUAACGCGUAAACAAGCUGCCCUUCAGGGGGGGACAACAGGUGGAAACGACUGCUAAUACCGCAUACUGAAGGUGGAGAUUGCGUCGGCUUAGCUCGUUGGGGGGGUACCGGCCCACCUAGGCGACGAUCCCUAGCUGGUCUGAGAGGAUGAUCAGCCACACUGGGACUGAGACACGGCCCAGACUCCUACGGGAGGCAGCAGUGGGGAAUAUUGCACAAUGGGCGCAAGCCUGAUGCAGCAAUGCCGCGUGUAUGAAGAAGGCCCUAGGGUUGUAAAGUACUUUCAGUCGGGAGCGUUACCGACAGAAGAAGCACCGGCUAACUCCGUGCCAGCAGCCGCGGUAAUUC